AAAUGGUAAUUUGGCUCUGGAGGUUGAAGUUUACCGGUUAACGGACGAUCUGGUAGUUGUGGAGGCUAGAAGGAGAGGUGGUGAAGCUGGAUGCUUUAAACAGAUGUGGAAGUACAAGCUUAAGCCUGAACUCAGUGGCUUAACUGUUAGUCAACCGGAAAGUCAGGUCGUCGGUAACUGAAAAACGUAGUGUGUGUAUAUAUAUAUAUAUA
rnacentral:misc_RNA from 1 species